GACGAACGCUGGCGGCGUGCUUAACACAUGCAAGUCGAACGGAGCGAAUGAAAGCUUGCUUUUAUGAGCUUAGUGGCAAACGGGUGAGUAACACGUAGACAACCUGCCGACAGGAUGGGGACAACAUUCCGAAAGGAAUGCUAAUACCGAAUGAAGCGGAGGAGAGGCAUCUCUCCUCCGUGAAAGAUGGCCUCUGAAUAUGCUAUCACCUGUCGAUGGGUCUGCGUCUGAUUAGCUAGUUGGUGAGGUAACGGCUCACCAAGGCGACGAUCAGUAGCCGGUCUGUGAGGAUGAACGGCCACAUUGGGACUGAGACACGGCCCAGACUCCUACGGGAGGCAGCAGUGGGGAAUCUUCCGCAAUGGGCGCAAGCCUGACGGAGCAACGCCGCGUGAGUGAAGAAGGUCUUCGGAUCGUAAAGCUCUGUUGACGGGGACGAACGUGCGAAGGGUGAAUAAUCCUUUGUAA
rnacentral:rRNA from 1 species